GAUUCCUGUACUGCGGUAUGACAGAACUGUGGGGACACGUAAGGAAAGCGGAAGCCGGGAAUGGAAAGCCCGGUGCAAGCGGGGUACCAGCCACUCAGGCAAAUCCGGGUGGCAAUGGGAAGCUGUGAUGCGGAGCGAAAUACAAGUAGCGAAGUCCGUGAGCCAUGCGUCAAGAAAAGCCGCUAUUGUUUAUACCGUACCCGUACCGUAAACCGACACAGGUGGAUGAGGAGAGAAUCCUAAGGCCGGCGGAAGAAGCAUUGUCAAGGAACUCGGCAAAAUGACCCCGUAACUUCGGGAGAAGGGGUGCCACUGAGAAGUGGCCGCAGAGAAUAGGCUCAAGCAACUGUUUAGCAAAAACACAGGUCUAUGCGAAACCGAAAGGUGAGGUAUAUGGGCUGACGCCUGCCCGGUGCUGGAAGGUUAAGAGGAGAGGUUAGCGGAAACGCGAAGCUUUGAAUUUAAGCCCCAGUAAACGGCGGCCGUAACAAUAACGGUCCUAAGGUAGCGAAAUUCCUUGUCGGGUAAGUUCCGACCCGCACGAAAGGCGUAAUGAUUUGAGCGCUGUCUCGACAAUGCAUCCGGUGAAAUUGAAGUACCAGUGAAGAUGCUGGUUACCUGCGCCAGGACGGAAAGACCCCAUGGAGCUUUACUCCAGUUUGGUACUGGGGUCCGGUAUUGCAUGUACAGGAUAGGUGGGAGGCUAGGAAGCAGCAACGCCAGUUGCUGCGGAGCCGCUGUUGGGAUACCACCCUUGUAGUACUGGGCUUCUAACCAGCCGCCGUGAACCGGCGGUGGGACAAUGCCAGACGGGGAGUUUGACUGGGGCGGUCGCCUCCGAAAGGGUAUCGGAGGCGCCCAAAGGUUCCCUCAGAAUGGACGGAAACCAUUCGAAGAGUGCAAAGGCAGAAGGGAGCUUGACUGCGACACCGACGGGUGGAGCAGGUACGAAAGUAGGGCUUAGUGAUCCGGUGGUAUUAAGUGGGAAUGCCAUCGCUCAACGGAUAAAAGCUACCCUGGGAUAACAGGCUUAUCACUCCCAAGAGUUCACAUCGACGGAGUGGUUUGGCACCUCGAUGUCGGCUCAUCGCAUCCUGGGGCUGUAGUAGGUCCCAAGGGUUGGGCUGUUCGCCCAUUAAAGCGGUACGCGAGCUGGGUUCAGAACGUCGUGAGACAGUUCGGUCCCUAUCCGGCGUGGGCGUAGGAUAUCUGAGAGGAGCUGUCCUUAGUACGAGAGGACCGGGAUGGACGGACCGCUGGUGUACCGGUUAGACUGCCAAGUCUACGGCCGGGUAGCCAAGUCCGGAAGGGAUAAACGCUGAAGGCAUCUAAGCGUGAAGCCCCCCUCAAGAUGAGAUGUCCCAUUCGAAAGAAGUAAACCCCCUUGAAGACGACGAGGUAGAUAGGGCAGGGGUGGAAGUGUGGCAACACAUGGAGCUGACUGUUACUAAUAGGGUGAGGGCUUGACCGA
rnacentral:rRNA from 1 species